UGCCCUAGUAACGGCGAGUGAAGCGGCAACAGCUCAAAUUUGAAAUCUGGCGCAAGCCCGAGUUGUAAUUUGUAGAGGAUGCUUCUAGGUAGCGACCGGUCUAAGUUCCUUGGAACAGGACGUCAUAGAGGGUGAGAAUCCCGUAUGUGACCGGCCCGCACCUUCUACGUAGCUCCUUCGAAGAGUCGAGUUGUUUGGGAAUGCAGCUCUAAAUGGGAGGUAAAUUUCUUCUAAAGCUAAAUACCGGCCAGAGACCGAUAGCGCACAAGUAGAGUGAUCGAAAGAUGAAAAGCACUUUGGAAAGAGAGUUAAAAAGCACGUGAAAUUGUUGAAAGGGAAGCGCUCACAACCAGACUUCUGGGCGGUGUUCCGCCGGUCUUCUGACCGGUCUACUCGCCGUCCCGAGGCCAACAUCAUCUGGGACCGCUGGAUAAGACCUUAGGAAUGUAGCUCCCCUCGGGGAGUGUUAUAGCCUCUGGUGAUGCAGCGCGUCUCGGGUGAGGUCCGCGCUUCGGCAAGGAUGUUGGCGUAAUGGUUGUCAGCGGCCCGUCUUGAAACACGGACCAAGGAGUCUAACAUCUAUGCGAGUGUUCGGGUGUCAAACCCCUACGCGUAAUGAAAGUGAACGGAGGUGGGAAGGGUAACCUGCACCAUCGACCGAUCCUGAUGUCCUCGGAUGGAUUUGAGUAAGAGCAUAGCUGUUGGGACCCGAAAGAUGGUGAACUAUGCCUGAAUAGGGUGAAGCCAGAGGAAACUCUGGUGGAGGCUCGCAGCGGUUCUGACGUGCAAAUCGAUCGUCAAAUUUGGGUAUAGGGGCGAAAGACUAAUCG
rnacentral:rRNA from 1 species